UACGUAGGGUGCGAGCGUUGCCCGGAUUUAUUGGGCGGAAAGGGCGCGUAGGCGGCCACGCACGUCCGUUGUGAAAUCGCCCGGCUCAACUGGGCGGGGUCGGCGGAUACGGCGUGGCUGGAGCAAGCUAGGGGGCAAUGGAAUUCCCGGUGUAGUGGUGGAAUGCGUAGAUAUCGGGAGGAACACCAGUGGCGAAGGCGGUUGCCUGGAGCUUUGCUGACGCUGAGGCGCGAAAGCGUGGGGAGCGAUCCGG
rnacentral:rRNA from 1 species